rnacentral:rRNA from 1 species
UACAGAGGGGGCAAGCGUUGUUCGGAAUUACUGGGCGUAAAGGGCGCGUAGGCGGCCUUCUAAGUCGAACGUGAAAUCCCCGGGCUCAACCCGGGAACUGCGUCUGAUACUGGAUGGCUUGAGUUUGGGAGAGGGACGCGGAAUUCCAGGUGUAGCGGUGAAAUGCGUAGAUAUCUGGAGGAACACCGGUGGCGAAGGCGGCGUCCUGGACCAACACUGACACUGAGGAGCGAAAGCCAGGGGAGCAAACGGG